rnacentral:rRNA from 1 species
CCUACGGGAGGCAGCAGUGGGGGAUAUUGCACAAUGGGGGGAACCCUGAUGCAGCGACGCCGCGUGGGUGAAGGAGUGCUUCGGCAUGUAAAGCCCUAUCGGCAGGGAAGAAGCAAGACGGUACCUGACUAAGAAGCGCCGGCUAACUACGUGCCAGCAGCCGCGGUAAUACGUAGGGGGCGAGCGUUAUCCGGAUUCACUGGGUGUAAAGGGAGCGUAGACGGCCAUGCAAGCCAGGGGUGAAAGCCCGGGGCCCAACCCCGGGACUGCCCUUGGAACUGUGCGGCUAGAGUGCGGGAGGGGCAGGCGGAAUGCCUGGUGUAGCGGUGAAAUGCGUAGAUAUCAGGAGGAACACCGGCGGCGAAGGCGGCCUGCUGGACUGCGACUGACGUUGAGGCUCGAAAGCGUGGGGAGCGAACAGGAUUAGAUACCCGUGUAGUC